rnacentral:rRNA from 1 species
GUCUACGGCCAUAUCACGUUGAAAACACCGGUUCUCGCCCGAUCUCCGAAGUAAAGCAACGUCGAGCCCGGUCAGUACUUGGAUGGGUGACCGCCUGGGAAUACUGGGUGCUGUAGACUU